GACGAACGCUGGCGGCGUGCCUAAUACAUGCAAGUCGAACGCAGUGGGGACGGGUGAGGAACACGUGGGUAACCUCCCAUCAGAGGGGAUAACACUUGGAAACAGGUGCUAAACCGAUACUGAUGGAUGGACCAGGGGGGCAUUAGCUAGUUGGUGGGGUAACGGCUCACCAGGGCAACGUUGCAUAGCCGACCUGAGAGGGUGAUCGGCCACACUGGAACUGAGACACGGUCCAGACUCCUACGGGAGGCAGCAGUGGGGAAUAUUCGGCAAUGGACGAAAGUCUGACCCAGCAACGCCGCGUGAGUGAAGAAGGUUUUCGGGUCGUAAAACUCUGUUGUUGGAGAAGCGGUACCCACACAGAAAGCCCCGGCUAACUACGUGCCAGCCGCCGCGGUAAUAC
rnacentral:rRNA from 1 species